GAUUAAACAGCCACAAGGUAAUGGAGGGACAACACAACACAGUAACAGAAUGGAGACCGGAUUAAUAAACUAAAGAAAAGAACAAUUAAGGAAUGACAUAACAGAAUGCACAAUGAAUUGGAAAAAACAAAGACAACCAAGAAUUGACAAGCAAACAAAAACAAAGUUAUCAAGAAAGGAAGCAUUUACAAGUUGCAGAAGAUCAAUUCAAUGCUCAAUUGACAAUUAUUGAAACUGGUGCAUCAAGUAAAAUCAGAAGUGACACUGGUUUGGAUAGCUUUUAUUUCUGCUUAUCAUUUUCUUUUUAUUGUCGAACAGAUCUUAUAUUGCAAUUAAACCAAGCUUUUGCUGCCAUGACAAUUCAAUCUCUAAUGCACCAAUUACAGAUUUCAGAAAACAAGGCAAUUCAGCAACUUGUAAGCAAGAAAAAUGCUAAAAAUUAGUCGUUUAGAGAGUCACUUUGCACAAAACUGUUAGAAUACAAUAUACUUUGACAUGAGCAUGUUUAAUUCAUUGAAUCACACUUGUAUGGACUGCUAAAUGAUGCCACAUAACAGUGGUUCCAAAAUUCACUGAUUGAGUGCCACUUUUAUAUCGAUUCACACAACUCCAC
rnacentral:lncRNA from 1 species